rnacentral:rRNA from 1 species
GAUGAACGCUGGCGGCGUGCUUAACACAUGCAAGUCGAACGAUGAAGCCCAGCUUGCUGGGUGGAUUAGUGGCGAACGGGUGAGUAACACGUGAGUAACCUGCCCUUAACUCUGGGAUAAGCCUGGGAAACUGGGUCUAAUACCGGAUAGGAGCGUCCACCGCAUGGUGGGUGUUGGAAAGAUUUAUCGGUUUUGGAUGGACUCGCGGCCUAUCAGCUUGUUGGUGAGGUAAUGGCUCACCAAGGCGACGACGGGUAGCCGGCCUGAGAGGGUGACCGGCCACACUGGGACUGAGACACGGCCCAGACUCCUACGGGAGGCAGCAGUGGGGAAUAUUGCACAAUGGGCGCAAGCCUGAUGCAGCGACGCCGCGUGAGGGAGGACGGCCUUCGGGUUGUAACCUCUUUCAGUAGGGAAGAAGCGAAAGUGACGGUACCUGCAGAAGAAGCACCGGCUAACUACGUG